UCUCGCAUGGCUGUCUCACAGAUGAUGUUGACGAGUCAGUUGCUGUACCAAGGUUGAUGUGAUUUUGUGUCAUGGACAAUUAUAUGUUUAUAUAGAUGAAGAAGAAAGGUGUAAUGGGUGUAUCAAGCGCCAUGGCAGAGCAAUCUGUUUUCUUUUCAAUUGUGUAUAAUGUUUAAAACAAGAAGCAAAGAGGUAUUUUAAACCUUGAAAGUUUUUUUUUAUUGUUCUACGGCUGUCCUGGGAUUUAUCAUAGUAAACAUCCUGUACUGUGGGUGUUAAAGAUCAUAUAAAUUAUAUUUACUAAGUUGUUACAUUGAGUUUUCUUUUAAUAUCAGGUGAAGGAGUUUGAUUCUCUCCGGGUUGAUUGCAAUGCAGAAAAUUUCUCAUUGAGAAAUGUGUCCAAGAAAGUGUUAGGUCAACAUGGGAUUAAACUCCUGAUGGAAAGGAGCAGCUCUUUUUUCUUCCCCGGUGUGGUUGGAAUUCUGUGUAUUGGAACUAAAAUGAUUUUGUCCUACUUAAACAUUACACAGGAUCAUUACUUCAGGAUAAAAGAGAAAGGAAAAGUUGACAGCAAUACCAAGGCUACAAUAUCAUAUACCCGACCAUAUGAUAUCCUGAAUGUUCAUGACCGACUGGAAAUCAUGGAAGCAUUAUUCUGGUUUGGCAUUGUACAAUCAAAAUACAUUGCUUGAAUUUAACAUAAUGUGGUAUAUAUACAGUGUAUAAUUUAGAAAUUAUGAGUUGAGAUAUAGAGAUGUACAAACUGUGUUUUAAAUAUAAUGUGAAAUAUAUCCAUGGAAAUUGAGACAUAAAGGUGUUAAGUUGUACAAGUUUUUAGGUCUAGAAUUUGAUCUGCACAUUUGUUUUCCUCCCACCAUUAAAAAAGGAAGUACUUGGAGCAGUUCAGUUUAUCUUUAAAAAGUAUGUGUAGUUAUUCAUGUAGGAUCAUUGUAAUGAAGAAAGUUCAACUCUUGUUUACCAAAUCUUCUACAUGUGUGUAUAUCAUGUGAGACAGUAUUUCAAGUACCUUAGUUUUGUGUUUUACAUUUGAACAAAUAUCGGUAGCAAAUGUAUUCUGUGACACCCCCCCCCCCCCCCCAAAAAAAAAAACACCCCCCCCAAAACACCUGUUAUAUGAUAUUGAAAUGAUUAUGGUCAUAUGGAGUGCAUUGACUUUUCAACAAAAAUGAUGUUUGUAAUAUAUACCACUAGAGCAAAACUUAUCCUAGAUAAGGAGACGUUAAGAAACACGGAAAAUCAUGUCCAACCAUGAAAGUUAAUGCUCAAAUGAGAGGCUUUUUAAGCUAAUGGUUUGGAAUGUAAAUAUAUCGGUUUAUUUCAAUAAAAUUUGAAGUGAU